GCUUCCUUCGGGAAGUGGAUUAGCGGCGGACGGGUGAGUAACACGUGGGUAACCUGCCUCAAAGUGGGGGAUAGCCUUCCGAAAGGAAGAUUAAUACCGCAUAACAUAAGAGAAUCGCAUGAUUUUCUUAUCAAAGAUUUAUUGCUUUGAGAUGGACCCGCGGCGCAUUAGCUAGUUGGUAAGGUAACGGCUUACCAAGGCAACGAUGCGUAGCCGACCUGAGAGGGUGAUCGGCCACAUUGGAACUGAGACACGGUCCAGACUCCUACGGGAGGCAGCAGUGGGGAAUAUUGCGCAAUGGGGGAAACCCUGACGCAGCAACGCCGCGUGGGUGAUGAAGGUCUUCGGAUUGUAAAGCCCUGUUUUCUGGGACGAUAAUGACGGUACCAGAGGAGGAAGCCACGGCUAACUACGUGCCAGCAGCCGCGGUAAUACGUAGGUGGCGAGCGUUGUCCGGAUUUACUGGGCGUAAAGGGUGCGUAGGCGGAUGUUUAAGUGGGAUGUGAAAUCCCCGGGCUUAACCUGGGGGCUGCAUUCCAAACUGGAUAUCUAGAGUGCAGGAGAGGAAAGCGGAAUUCCUAGUGUAGCGGUGAAAUGCGUAGAGAUUAGGAAGAACACCAGUGGCGAAGGCGGCUUUCUGGACUGUAACUGACGCUG
rnacentral:rRNA from 1 species